rnacentral:rRNA from 1 species
AUGAGACUGGAAUACAGAAAAACAAUUAAAGACAAUACUGUAAGCAGAGUCCUCUUGGUUUGUGGGAAAUACGGCAAGCCAAAAACAAACAAGGAGGAGACAAAGGAUGUGCAGGACCCAAAAGGCAUCGUGAAGAAGAGGAAAAGAGGGAAGGUUGUGAGGUUGGGAUGUCCGGCCCACCUUUACAUCACCCACACAGAUGCGUGGUGGAGAGUCAAACGCUUCAAUGACGACCACAACCACCCUCUAAUAAGAAAGCCGUCCUUGACAAAGUUCCUAUCAACACAUAGGAACAUUCCAAAAGAUGAGCAGGACUUCUUGAAGAUAUUGCACAGAUGCAACAUAGAGACAGCAAGACAGAUGCAACUAAUGCAAUGGUUCUACGGGAAUCCUAAAGAUGUACCAUACACAACAAAGGACAUCGCAAACCAGCGAGCUAAAUUCCGGAUGGAGUACCGCCAUGCUGAUGUGGGGAGCACAAUCUCGUACUUCCAAGAUAUGAAGGCACAAGAUCCAGAUUUCUAUUGGAGAAUAAAGCUUGAUGAUGAGGACAGAGUGGAAAAUUUAUUCUGGAUAGAUGGUGCGUCGUGCAGGGCAUAUGCUAGAUACAAUGAUGUCAUCUCAUUUGACACAACAUACAUGACAAACAUGUACAAAAUGCCCUGUUCAAUCCAAUUUGGUUGUGGGUUUGUUCGAAACGAACUAUCUGGUAACUUUGUGUGGCUGUUUAAUGCAUUCUUGCAUGCAAUGUGUGGAAUUGCGCCCAAGAAGAUAAUAGCAGAUCAAGAUUUUGCAAUGAGGAGUGCUAUUGAUGAGGUGUUCAUCGGGAUAGUACACAGGAAUUGCCGCUGGCAUAUAAUGAAAAAAGCACAAGAGAAGCUUGGGAAGCUGAUGGCUGACAAUGAGCCACUAAACAAUGCAUUAAAGGAUUGUGUUGAUAACAGCCUGGCUGUUGAGGAGUUUGAGCACAAGUGGUGGGUGAUGAUGGAAGUGUAUGGCCAGACUGACAACGAGCAUUUCCAAUGGCUGUGGGAGAACAGGAAGUGUUGGGUCCCAGUAUACUAUAUGCAUGAUUUUUUCCCGUUCUUGCAGACCACGGCAAGAAGCGAGGGUUUUAACUCUGUGCUCAAGAAGUAUGUCAACCCAAACAACUCACUGGUCGAAUUCGCACAAUAGUACACUGCGAUACAGGAUAAGGUGAUGGCUAGCGUGUCAAAAGAGCAGUUGGAAACAGUGUACAAAGAAACCAAAAUGUACUUGAUGAACCCGCUGGAGAUGCAAGUACGGGGGCUGUACACACAUAACUUGUUUUGCAAGUUCCAGGUGGAGAUGAAGGUGAAAUCAGCAUACAGAUGCGACACAUUGGAUGAUGGUACUUUCAAGGUCAGCUCAGUGCAUGGGAUAAUACCAAAAUAUGGAGACAGGGACUACCAUGUGCAAGCAAACAUGGAUGAAGAGACAUACUCGUGUAGUUGCUGCAAGUUUGAUCGUGACGGGCUACUGUGCGCGCACGUACUACAAGUUAUGGACCAAAUUGGGGUAUACGAGAUACCUGAAAAGUACAUCCUAAAGAGGUGGACCUGGGAUCCAGGGGAGGAUCUUAUUCAACCUGAUUUCGAAUAGCCGACAAUUAAGAAGUCGAUGCCAGAGGAGGGGAAAAGCGUCAUGCGAUACACAUCAAUUCUUAAAGAAUUUAAGCCAUCGGCCAAAGAUGCUUGCCUAACAGAUGACGGGACCAGAUUGGCAAGAAAACACCUGUAUAAUUUCAAGGAGGAGCUUGAAACCCUGAAGAACAAUCAACUUAAAAAGCAAGAAAGGAAAAAGAAGAAGCAAAAGGAUCAUUUCAAGGACAGCCGGAUCCCUGCUCGAUACCUGUGGGGCGGAUGA